CACUAUAGCACUGAGCAGGAGAUUGGAACCCGUCUAGGGGUCUCUUAUACUUGGCAAAUGUGAACUUUGGUCUGUGGAUAAGUUGGUGGAAGUCUUAGUGGUUUGGAUCUUGUGUAAAGUCUUAUACAGACAGUGCUGGUCAGGGUGUGUGCCAAAGUCUAUGCCAAACCAGGUCCAUUGAGGCAGGUACAGUGCACAUGUACAUAUUUUUAAGUAUUUCUGAUAACAGAAACUGUUUUCUAGGAAUGUAACCUAGACUGCAGAAGAAAACGUAUAUCCCGGUUAAGUUUUGCCUCUGCUAAGCAAAUGGAAGAGCCAAGCAGACUAGUUCUUUCUCUGACACAAUGUGUGUUGGGGAUGACAUCAUUUGUUACCUUGCAGGGCAAUAGCAGGAGUAGCGUGUUAGGAUACGCUCUUGCUGGUCAUUUGAUGGUUUAGCCUUUUACUCUGGCUGGCUAGGGCUGGCUCACAGCUCAGGGUGCCCUUACCAUUGGGAAUAACCCAGAAGGAAGGGAGAAAGCUUGAGCGUUCCCAGCCUUCCUGUUGUCCCAGCUGUCCAGCAGGUGCUGGAAUGUGUCUUGCUUUACCUGGCAGAGAGCUUCUGGCGCAGCACAGGAAAUGUGGGCAUUCCCCACCCAGCCUUGACAGACGGGAGGGAAGAAGCAAAGCCAGGGGAAUCUAAAUUUGUUUUGGGGUUUCAAGCUGUCAGACUGGGAGGGUGAUUUUAACUGUGGGAUUUUUUUUCCCUUAGAUUUUCAUUUAUAGUUAUCACUAAAUAUAUUCCAAUGGUGGAAAAUUACAGCUCUUUACUUGCCAUUUGGCAGCUGUGACUUUUGAUCCCUGGUACCAAAACAAAAAAACGAAAAAACAAAACCAAAGGCAAAACCUAUGGCUGCUGCUCUCUUUACUGUGUCUAAAGGUGAGGCCUUUCACUGUAUCUCUCUCUUUCCUUUUUUUAAUUUUGCUUUUGCUGCUGGGAGUUAGCUCUGAAUUUGCCCUCAUUUCUGAGUGGAACCCUGGAAGUUGCCACCUUACACAUUAUUGGUAGAAAUCUUGCUUUGCAGCAGAAGCUACCGCAGUGGAGUGGGUGCGGAGAAACAACCGCCUCCUGGCUGCCACUGGCUUCAGGUGUUGUCUGAGUUCCACCUUUAGUGAGGCUGGUUGCUUACAUUGUCACAAACACAAUUAUGCCUCCUUUAACCUUUAGCUCAAAAAUAGCUGAGCCCUUGGGCUUGAGGGAACUGUGGACUGAAAAAAAUAUAAUACCACUACACAAAUGAAUACCCAGAAUUUUGGGCCACGGGUCAAUUUGAAUGACUUGUAGUGCUGUUUGCAGUUACAUACUGACCUCGGUUUUUUACUUUACUGGAAUGUUUUGAGCACCUUACUCAGGAGCUCAGAAAAGCUUAGUGGGAGAGCACUUGCCUAACAAGCUUGAGCUCUGGGUUAGGUCUUCAGCAUCCACACCACUGCUACCACCAAAAACAAAACAAAACAAAACACAAAACUGCACAGCACCAUACCAAACCCUGAGAGGUUUUUUUGGUUUCGUUUUUUAAACUUUUAAAACAGGUAAUAGCUUAUAUACCUGUCAUGUAUUGGUAUCUUCAAUGCAUUUUCAGAUUUAUUUUCUCAUUUUGUCCUUAUAAAACCAGGACGUAAUUUGGAAAGGAAUUAUCUUUGGUUAAAUGACACAAGCAAACAGUGGUGGCAUUAAGGUCCACCACGUAAGGUUUUUAGUUUUAAAAAAACUAAAGCCAAAUGGUUAAGUGUUUAAGUCUUAGUUUCUGCCACUUAUUAGCUGGUGUGACAUUGAACAAAGUAUUUGCCCCCUCUGAAUCAUACUUUCAGAGAUUCUUGGGAAAAUAACAGAUAGAUGCAUGAUGAAUAUUUUUAUGUGUUUUUGCACAUGACUGGACAUGAUGGUGCACAACUGUAAUCUUGACUAGUUGGGAGGCUGAGACAGGAGGAUUGAAAGUUUUAGACCAGCGUGGCCAAUUUAGCAAGACCCUGUUUCAAAAUAAAAUUAAAAAAACAAAAGGGCUAGAGAUGCAGCUCAGAUCCUGGGCUCCAUCUUCAGUACUUCAAACAACAACAACUCCAAAUAUGUUGUUAUAAAAAUAAAAACUGGAAAAUAAAAAUACAAAACUAAAACAAAAAAGGGAACACAUAGAAGCCCUGAGACUUAGCAUAAGGUUGGUAAUAAUUAGCUGCUUAGGUGAGGACAGGUGGGGAUGGGUAGGAGAACUAGCUGGUACGCAGGGCUCCUUAUGUUUGGGACCAUGGCAAGGCCUUAGAGCUCAUCCUGCCCAGUGCUAUUGCCACUG
ensembl:lncRNA